AUAUUGGACAAUGGGCGCAAGCCUGAUCCAGCCAUGCCGCGUGAAUGAUGAAGGUCUUAGGAUUGUAAAAUUCUUUCACCGGGGAAGAUAAUGACGGUACCCGGAGAAGAAGCUCCGGCUAACUUCGUGCCAGCAGCCGCGGUAAUACGAAGGGGGCUAGCGUUGCUCGGAAUUACUGGGCGUAAAGGGCGCGUAGGCGGAUAUUUAAGUCAGGGGUGAAAGCCCGGGGCUCAACCACGGAAUUGCCUUUGAUACUGGAUAUCUUGAGUUCGGGAGAGGUGAGUGGAAUGCCGAGUGUAGAGGUGAAAUUCGUAGAUAUUCGGCGGAACACCAGUGGCGAAGGCGACUCACUGGCCCGAUACUGACGCUGAGGCGCGAAAGCGUGGGGAGCAAACAGG
rnacentral:rRNA from 1 species